rnacentral:rRNA from 1 species
UACGUAGGGACCGAGCGUUGUCCGGAAUCAUUGGGCGUAAAGAGCGUGUAGGCGGCUAUUUAAGUCCUGCGUGAAAUCCUGCGGCUCAACCGCAGACGGUCGUGGGAAACUGGAUGGCUAGAGUGCGGGAGAGGAGAGUGGAAUUCCCGGUGUAGCGGUGAAAUGCGCAGAUAGUCGGGAAGAACACCCCGUGGCGAAGGCGGCUCUCUGGAACGCAACUGACGCUGAGACGCGAAAGCGUGGGGAGCAAACAGG